AUGUCGUAAUCUCAAGUUGUCAGCAGGAAGCAGACACGGAACAGGAAAGACCCAAGGACAGGUCAUCUUCAGGACGAAGAUUCGAUGAUUCAGGAUGAAUGAUCGGCAUGGAAAGCGAAGGACAUUAGCUGGAAGCUUGGUAACUAGGAUGGUUACAACGGAUGGUUAAUGGACAACUUAAAGGAAUAAGGCGUGAAUCUGUCAGGAUGACGGAUAAGGGACACCGCUAGGAAGGCGAUGAAACGGAAUGCGCUGAAGGAUACAGCAGACUAUCAAGGAAUAGAUGCAGGGAGCACCUAUUAGUAGCCGGAUUGCUGCGAGUAAGAACUGAACCCCACUAAGCGAAAGCUUAGUGGGGUUUUCUUUUAUC
rnacentral:other from 1 species